GUGCUCGCUUCAGUGGCACAUAUACUAAAAUUGUAACGAUGAAGAGAAGGUUAGCAUGGCCCCUGUGCAAGGAUGACACGCAGAUUCGUGAAGCGUUCCAUACUUUU